CAAUAUCAUAACUGAAGCUGGACAUCUUUGGAGCUGAAGAAUGAGGACAGCUUUUGUAUGCUAACGUACACUCCUUAACAGUUGUACUGGAUGAAAACACAGCAAGAAAACGCAUGCCAAUAUGCAUAGUAUCAUGGCUGGUCACCUGUCAAGUCACAUGUCAGGCAGACUUUGCAAUGCCUCCGUGUGCGACUACCUUGAGAAGCAGUUUGAGGGACUUUGCAGGGAAAAUGUCGUGCAGUGAGGCGUAGGGGAUUGUCUACAGCAGGACGACCCCCAGUGGAUGGGCGC